rnacentral:rRNA from 1 species
AUACUUCCAGGAAAAGCCUCUAAGCUUCAGAUUAUAUGGAAUCGUACCCCAAACCGACACAGGUGGUCAGGUAGAGAAUACUAAGGCGCUUGAGAGAACUCGGGUGAAGGAACUAGGCAAAAUCGUACCGUAACUUCGGGAGAAGGUACGCUCCUAUCUGUGAUGAGACUUGCUCUCUAAGCGGACGGGAGCCGCAGUGACCAGGUGGCUGGGACUGUUUAUUAAAAACACAGCACUGUGCAAAAUCGCAAGAUGACGUAUACGGUGUGACACCUGCCCGGUGCCGGAAGGUUAAUUGAUGGGGUUAUCCUUAGGGAGAAGCUCUUGAUCGAAGCCCCGGUAAACGGCGGCCGUAACUAUAACGGUCCUAAGGUAGCGAAAUUCCUUGUCGGGUAAGUUCCGACCUGCACGAAUGGUGUAACCAUGGCCACGCUGUCUCCACCCGAGACUCAGUGAAAUUGAAAUCGCAGUGAAGAUGCUGUGUACCCGCGGCUAGACGGAAAGACCCCGUGAACCUUUACUACAGCUUGGCACUGAACAUUGAACCUACAUGUGUAGGAUAGGUGGGAGACUUUGAAGCAGCGACGCUAGUUGUUGUGGAGUCGUCCUUGAAAUACCACCCUUGUAGUUUUGAUGUUCUAACGUUGGCCCCUGAAUCGGGGUUACGGACAGUGCCUGGUGGGUAGUUUGACUGGGGCGGUCUCCUCCUAAAGAGUAACGGAGGAGCACGAAGGUUGGCUAAGUACGGUCGGACAUCGUACGGUUAGUGUAAUGGUAGAAGCCAGCUUAACUGCGAGACAGACACGUCGAGCAGGUACGAAAGUAGGUCAUAGUGAUCCGGUGGUUCUGAAUGGAAGGGCCAUCGCUCAACGGAUAAAAGGUACUCCGGGGAUAACAGGCUGAUACCGCCCAAGAGUUCAUAUCGACGGCGGUGUUUGGCACCUCGAUGUCGGCUCAUCACAUCCUGGGGCUGAAGUCGGUCCCAAGGGUAUGGCUGUUCGCCAUUUAAAGUGGUACGCGAGCUGGGUUUAGAACGUCGUGAGACAGUUCGGUCCCUAUCUGCCGUGGGCGUUUGAGAAUUGAGAGGGGUUGCUCCUAGUACGAGAGGACCGGAGUGAACGAACCGCUGGUGUUCGGGUUGUCAUGCCAAUGGCAUUGCCCGGUAGCUACGUUCGGAACUGAUAAGCGCUGAAAGCAUCUAAGCGCGAAGCAGGCCUCGAGAUGAGUUCUCACUAGACUUUUAAAGUCUCUGAAGGGCCGUUGAAGACUACAACGUUGAUAGGCAAGAUGUGGAAGUGGUGUGAGCCAUUAAGCUAACUUGUACUAAUUACCCGUGAGGCUUAACCAU